rnacentral:rRNA from 1 species
GAUGAACGCUGGCGGCGUGCCUAAUACAUGCAAGUCGAGCGGACGGACGAGAAGCUUGCUUGUCUGAUGUUAGCGGCAGACGUGUGAGUAACACGUGGAUCACCUCCCUAUAAGACUGGGAUAACCUCGGGAAACCGUAGCUAAUCCCGGAUAAUCUUUUGAACCACAUUGUUCAAUGGUAAAAUACGGUCUUGCUGUCUCUUCUCGAUGGUUCCCGGCUUCAUUAGCUAGUUGGUAAGUUAACGGCUUACCACGGCUACGAUGCAUAUCCGACCUGAGUGAGUGAUCGCCCACAGUAGAACGGGAACAGCGUCAAGACUACUACGGGAAGCAGCAGUAUGGAAUCGGACGCAAUGGGCGAAAACCUUGCGGAGCAGCGCGGCGUGAGAGAUGAAGGUCUUCGGAUCGUAAAACUCUGUUUUUAGUUAAGAACAGAUGUGUAAGUAAAUGUGCACAGCUUGACGGUAACGAAUCAGAAAGCCACGGCUAACUACGUG